rnacentral:misc_RNA from 1 species
UCACAGUUUACACUGGCAGUCUCGUUAGAGUUCCCGACAUGACUCGCUGGCAACUAACGACAGGGGUUGCGCUCGUUAUAGGACUUAACCUGACACCUCACGGCACGAGCUGACGACAACCAUGCAGCACCUUGAAAAACGUCCGAAGAAAAGUCUGUUUCCAAACCUGUCGUUUCCCAUUUAAGCCUUGGUAAGGUUCCUCGCGUAUCAUCGAAUUAAACCACAUGCUCCACCGCUUGUGCGGGCCCCCGUCAAUUCCUUUGAGUUUCAUUCUUGCGAACGUACUCCCCAGGUGGGAUACUUAUCACUUUCGCUUAGCCACUCAGAUUGCUCCGAACAGCUAGUAUCCAUCGUUUACGGCGUGGACUAC